rnacentral:rRNA from 1 species
CUAGUAAUCGCGAAUCAGAAUGUCGCGGUGAAUACGUUCCCGGGUCUUGUACACACCGCCCGUCACACCAUGGGAGUCGGAAAUGCCCGAAGUCAGUGACCCAACCACAACGUGAACUUCGUUCGCGUGGAGGGAGCUGCCGAAGGUGGAGCCGGUAACUGGGGUGAAGUCGUAACAAGGUAAC